AUCGAACGCUGGCGGCAGGCCAAACACAUGCAAGUAGAGCGAGCGGCGGACGGGUGAGCAAUGUAUGGGGACUGCCCGAUAGAGGGGGAUAACUACUUGAUACGGUAGCUAAUACCGCAUACUACCGGAUAACCCAUAUGGGAUUCGCUAGUAGGUGAGGUAAUGGCUCACCUAGGCGACGAUCCCUAGCUGGUCUGAGAGGAUGAUCAGCCACACUGCGACGGAGACACGGCCCGGGCUCCUACGGAGGCAGCAGUGGGAAGUAUUACAGAAAAGGCGCAGGCCUGAUGCAGCCAUGCCGCGUAUAUGACGACGGACCUAGGGUUGUAAAGUACUUUCAGUCGAGAGGCAUUACCGGCGGAGGAUGCACCGGCUAACUCCGGGCCAGCAGCCGCGGUAAUAC
rnacentral:rRNA from 1 species